rnacentral:rRNA from 1 species
UACGGGGGGGGCAAGCGUUGUUCGGAAUUACUGGGCGUAAAGGGCUCGUAGGCGGCCAACUAAGUCAGACGUGAAAUCCCUCGGCUUAACCGGGGGAACUGCGUCUGAUACUGGAUGGCUUGAGGUUGGGAGAGGGAUGCGGAAUUCCAGGUGUAGCGGUGAAAUGCGUAGAUAUCGUAAGGAAGACCAGUGGCGAAGGCGGGUCUCUGGACAGUUCCGUGACGCUGAGGCACGAAGGCCAGGGGAGCAAACGGG